rnacentral:rRNA from 1 species
AGAGUUUGAUCCUGGCUCAGAAUCAACGCUGGCGGCGUGCCUAACACAUGCAAGUCGAACGCGAAAGGGCCUUCGGGUCCGAGUAGAGUGGCGGACGGGUGAGUAACACGUGGGUGACCUGCCGUUCAGAGGGGGAUAACUCCGGGAAACUGGAGCUAAGACCGCAUGAGCUCUCGAGAGCGAUCUUGAGAGGAAAUGUCGAAAGACAGCUGGACGAGGGGCCCGCGCCCGAUUAGCUGGUUGGCGGGGUAAGAGCCCACCAAGGCGACGAUCGGUAGCCGGUCUGAGAGGACGGACGGCCACACUGGAACUGAGAGACGGUCCAGACUCCUACGGGAGGCAGCAGUGGGGAAUUUUGCGCAAUGGGGGAAACCCUGACGCAGCAACGCCGCGUGGAGGAUGACGGUCUUCGGAUUGUAAACUCCUGUCCUCGGGGACGAAAGCCAUGACGGUACCCGGGGAGGAAGCCCCGGCUAACUCCGUGCCAGCAGCCGCGGUAAUACGGGGGGGCGAGCGUUGUUCGGAAUUACUGGGCGUAAAGGGCGCGUAGGCGGCCUGGGAAGUCUUGGGUGAAAGCCCCCGGCUCAACCGGGGAAGGGCCUGAGAAACCACUGGGCUGGAGUGCUGGAGAGGAAAGCGGAAUUCCUGGUGUAGCGGUGAAAUGCGUAGAGAUCAGGAGGAACACCUGCGGCGAAGGCGGCUUUCUGGACAGACACUGACGCUGAGGCGCGAAAGCCAGGGGAGCAAACAGGAUUAGAUACCCUGGUAGUCCUGGCUGUAAACGAUGACGACUUGGUGUGAGGGGUUCAUAGACCCUUCGUGCCGGCGAUAACUCGUUAAGUCGUCCGCCUGGGGAGUACGGCCGCAUGGCUAAACUCAAAGGAAUUGACGG